rnacentral:lncRNA from 1 species
GAAAAUUUUAAUUUUUUUUAUUUUUCAAAAUUUGAAAUCUUAUCCCCAAAACCUCUAUUCUCAACUCUAAACCCUAAACCCUAAACUCUAAACCCUAAACUCUAAACCCUAAACCCUAAACCAUAAACCCUAAACCCUAAACUCUAAACCCUAAACCCUAAACCCUAAAUCCUAAACCCCACCUUUUAACUCUAAACCCUAAGUUUG